rnacentral:tRNA from 1 species
AGAAAUUUAGGUUAACCACUAGACCGAAAGCCUUCAAAGCUUUAAGUAAGUCCCUAAACUUAAUUUCUG